rnacentral:lncRNA from 1 species
CCUUGUGAAUAGAAGAUUGAUGUUCACAUUUUAGAGAUGAGAAAAGUGAGACUCAGCAUUUUCAUAACAUGUCUAACUUUCUGUAUACUCACUAUAUGACUGAGAGAACGUGUCAUUUCAUUUAAUCCUCACAACAAUCUGAUGAGGUCAGUAUUUUUAUUACUCUUACUGUACUGAGGAGCAAACUGACAAUUACAGAGUUAAGAAACUGGCCAGAAGUUAAAUAACAAUUUAGUAGUGGAGCCACAAGCCAAUCCUGAAUUUUGUUUGAUGCUGGAUCCCAAGCUUUUAAACUGAAUGUUUAAGUUAUUUGUCAACAAUGCAAAAUUAUUAAGAAGUAAGUUUGGGCUUGAACCCACAUUUCCCUUUCAUUUUAUUUACUUUAUUUUGCUGUUUAAUUUAAUUUAAUUUAACUGUAUUUUAUUUUGUUGAGUUGGGAUCGGCUCUGUCACCCAGGCUGGAGUACAGCGGUGUGAUCAUAGCUUAUUGUAACUUUGAUUCUCAAGCUCAAACUAUCUUCCUGUCUCAGCCUCCCGAGUAGCUAGAACUAUAGGGGAUGUGACACCACACCAAGCUAAAUUUUUAAAUUUUUGUAGAGAUGAGGUCUCGCUAUGUUGCCCAGUCUUGUCUCCAACUCCUGGCCUCAAGUGAUCCUCGACCUUCCAAAGGAAUGGAUUUACAGGCAUGAGCCACUGUGCCCAGCUUGAACCCACAUUGCUUACUUCAAAGCCUAAUGAUCAAUUUCAUGAAGGAGGUCUGCUGCACUCACAAGCCAGGUUAUGUCAGCUGGACUAUGUGGUGCCUUUUGUACCUGUCUGCAUCCUGCCAUCCGUUUGCCAUCUGCAGAGGGCUCAACUUGCAGUCCCAAAGGAAAGCAAUCAUUGUUGAAACUUCUGUCCUCAAGUUUAAUAUGAGAGAGUAUAAAACUAGGGUUCUACACAAUGAGCUCCGGGUCUGCAGAGCUUCUGGGUGUGAUUUGCUGAAAAAGGUUUCACUUUAG